rnacentral:lncRNA from 1 species
GAAAAACAUACCUGAAGAAAAUGACACAGAGCGGGAAGAGAAAAUGAACUGAGCCGAAGCAAUUCGAAGAAAUGAGUGUUUUCACAUCAGAGGAAAGAAAAGAAGAAGAAGAAGAAAGAAGAAGAAGAAGAAGAAGAAGAAGAAGAAGAAGAAGAAGAAGAAGAAGAAGAAGAAGAAGAAGAAGAAGAAGAAGAAGAAGAAGAAGAAGAAGAAGAAGAAGAAGAAGAAGAAGAAGAAGAGGAGAAAACAUGUGAUACCAUACACACAAAGGUCACAGCACAACAGAGGAAAACAGAGGAUUUAAGAAAUUUCAGGCGACCCCAUUUGAAUUCCAGGCGACCCCACAGGUUGAAAAACACCGGCUUAAACAUUUGGUCGUUCCUGCUUACAUGUGCUGCUCGUGUCCUGGUGCUGCCCUCUACAGGUGAAAUAAAGCACAACAGUCCAACAGGAAACAACCUUCAGCUGAUUUUCUCAUGUUUCUGUGAAUAAAAUCCACGGUUGUGUAAUCGUCUCAGUGCGGAGCAGUGGGCCGUGGAUGUCUCUACAUUUCAGGAGCCAGGUGGUCUGGAUGGACCCCCCACCCCACCCACCCCACCCCCCCUCGGCCUCCUGGUUGGAGUGGGCUGCCUUUUCAAGAGGCGUUCAGGGGCCCCAGCUGCUUGGCCUAAUGCUCCUCCAGAGAGCAGAGGAUUAAACGCAGUCUGCAGAGGGGAAAUGAAAGGAAAGGCAGAGCUGCACGGAAAAUAGAAAACACAGAGAUGGAGGGAAGGGGGGGGGGGGGACCAGGAGAACCACAUCCAGACAAAUAGAGGCCGGACUAAAGUGUGUCCCCCACCUCCAGGCGACCCACAGGUGGAUUCUGUGGACAAGAGGAGGACGGAGAGAAAACAGCACAAUAAACGACGAAAAUGGAAACGAGGAGUCUGGAUCAAUGCGACGAUAAAGUAAAUGUAGAAGCAACGAGAUGUCGACGUACAAGGACGGAAAUGAACUGAAACCAGGAUGUUUUGUCUCUUCAUGUCCAUAAUGUUUGAGGGACUGAUUAUGAUUGAAUGUUAUGGCAGACAGUGUAGUGGCAGUGGUUUAAGGACAAAGUUAUCGGAAUAUCAGCGAUAAAAAUGGACAAAAUAACACACAAAAACCAAUGAAAAUGAAAGCAAUUAGCAAAAAAAGGAAUGAAAAUGAACAGAAUUGUGAACAAAUGAAAAAAAAUAAAUAAGUACCACAAUAAAGGAAAAUUAAAAAAAAAAAAAAAAAGAGGCAGCAAAAUGGUAUGUGAAAGAAAUGAACAAAAAAGAAAUGAAAAGGAACAAACUGAGAACAAUAUUUAACCUCCUCAGAGCCAGCUAUGGGUUUUCUGUCAACAUUUGUGCACAAGAGUUUGACAACUUUAUACACAAAAAAAAAAAAAAGAGAGAAAAGAAAACUGUCCACCACAAAGGACAUUCCAUAAAAAAUUGCAUCUGCAUCUGAAAAAACUGUUGCAUCAGGAUGUUUCCAGUAUAGGCACUUAUUUAAUAAAACCAAAAAAAGCUUGUACUUUGCUGACAUUCCCUGGGUCUUAGGAGGUUAAAAAAAAAAAAAAAACAAAACAAAAAAUUAGCAUCAAAAUAAACAAUAAUUAAAAAAAAAAAAAAAAAAAAAAAAAAAACAGGCAACAAAAUGGAGAGUGAAAGAAAUGAACAAAAGAAAAUGAAAAUAAAGUGGAACAAAUUUUACUAGAAAAUUAACAAAAAGAAGCAACCCAAUGGACAAAAAAAUAACAAAAUGAGCAACAAAAUAAACAAAAUUACAAAAAAAAUGACUGAAUGACUAAAAUGAA